rnacentral:lncRNA from 1 species
AUUCAAGAUAUGCAUCAUUAGGCUGGUGGAGAAUGAUCAGACUAUUAAAAGAGCUGGAGAUCAUACAGUCAACCUGCUCAGAGGAUGCAAAUGGUUCCCUGAUGAACGUGAAUGCUCUAUCUGAGGAUGAUAUGAUGUGUCUGCUGGAGAGAAGAAGGCCAGGAGAACAGAAACCGUCAUUCUCAGCACGCUACCUUUGAACAGGAAGGCAGCAAGCAGAUUUACAAGGAAUUGUGGAAAGGUUUUGGGACCCGGAACUGCGAGGUUCACAGCCUACCUAUAUGGAGAUUGCUAGAGGAGACCCAGCAUAAGAAAACUGAAUAGAG